rnacentral:rRNA from 1 species
CACGUAGGGCGCAGGCGUUGUCCGGAAUUAUUGGGCGUAAAGAGCUCGUAGGCGGUCUGUUGCGUCCGCUGUGAAAACUCGGGGCUUAACCCCGAGCCUGCAGUGGAUACGGGCAGACUAGAGGUAGGUAGGGGAGAAUGGAAUUCCCGGUGUAGCGGUGAAAUGCGCAGAUAUCGGGAGGAACACCGGUGGCGAAGGCGGUUCUCUGGGCCUUACCUGACGCUGAGGAGCGAAAGUGUGGGGGAGCGAACAGG